AUUUAUAGUAAAAGGAAAAUCCGUCGACUUUAGAAAUCGUGAGGGUUCAA
rnacentral:tRNA from 30 species